rnacentral:rRNA from 1 species
ACGCUGGCGGCAGGCCUAACACAUGCAAGUCGAGCGGUAGAGAGAAGCUUGCUUCUCUUGAGAGCGGCGGACGGGUGAGUAAUGCCUAGGAAUCUGCCUGGUAGUGGGGGAUAACGUUCGGAAACGGACGCUAAUACCGCAUACGUCCUACGGGAGAAAGCAGGGGACCUUCGGGCCUUGCGCUAUCAGAUGAGCCUAGGUCGGAUUAGCUAGUUGGUGGGGUAAUGGCUCACCAAGGCGACGAUCCGUAACUGGUCUGAGAGGAUGAUCAGUCACACUGGAACUGAGACACGGUCCAGACUCCUACGGGAGGCAGCAGUGGGGAAUAUUGGACAAUGGGCGAAAGCCUGAUCCAGCCAUGCCGCGUGUGUGAAGAAGGUCUUCGGAUUGUAAAGCACUUUAAGUUGGGAGGAAGGGCAGUAAAUUAAUACUUUGCUGUUUUGACGUUACCGACAGAAUAAGCACCGGCUAACUCUGUGCCAGCAGCCGCGGUAAUACAGAGGGUGCAAGCGUUAAUCGGAAUUACUGGGCGUAAAGCGCGCGUAGGUGGUUAGUUAAGUUGGAUGUGAAAUCCCCGGGCUCAACCUGGGAACUGCAUUCAAAACUGACUGACUAGAGUAUGGUAGAGGGUGGUGGAAUUUCCUGUGUAGCGGUGAAAUGCGUAGAUAUAGGAAGGAACACCAGUGGCGAAGGCGACCACCUGGACUGAUACUGACACUGAGGUGCGAAAGCGUGGGGAGCAAAC